GACGAACGCUGGCGGCGUGCCUAAUACAUGCAAGUAGAACGCUGAAGCUUGGUGCUUGCACCGAGCGGAUGAGUUGCGAACGGGUGAGUAACGCGUAGGUAACCUGCCUGGUAGCGGGGGAUAACUAUUGGAAACGAUAGCUAAUACCGCAUAAGAGUAGAUGUUGCAUGACAUUUGCUUAAAAGGUGCAAUUGCAUCACUACCAGAUGGACCCGCGUUGUAUUAGCUAGUUGGUGAGGUAACGGCUCACCAAGGCAACGAUACAUAGCCGACCUGAGAGGGUGAGCGGCCACGCUGGGACUGAGACACGGCCCAGACUCCUACGGGAGGCAGCAGUAGGGAAUCGUCGGCAAUGGACGGAAGUCUGACCGAGCAACGCCGCGUGAGUGAAGAAGGUUUUCGGAUCGUAAAGAUCUGUUGUAAGAGAAGAACGAGUGUGAGAGUGGAAAGUUCACACUGUGACGGUAUCUUACCAGAAAGGGACGGCUAACUACGUG
rnacentral:rRNA from 1 species